rnacentral:rRNA from 1 species
AACGCGUUAAGUAGACCGCCUGGGGAGUACGGUCGCAAGAUUAAAACUCAAAUGAAUUGACGGGGGCCCGCACAAGCGGUGGAGCAUGUGGUUUAAUUCGAUGCAACGCGAAGAACCUUACCUACUCUUGACAUCCAGAGAAGCCAGCGGAGACGCAGGUGUGCCUUCGGGAGCUCUGAGACAGGUGCUGCAUGGCUGUCGUCAGCUCGUGUUGUGAAAUGUUGGGUUAAGUCCCGCAACGAGCGCAACCCUUAUCCUUGUUUGCCAGCGAGUAAUGUCGGGAACUCCAGGGAGACUGCCGGUGAUAAACCGGAGGAAGGUGGGGACGACGUCAAGUCAUCAUGGCCCUUACGAGUAGGGCUACACACGUGCUACAAUGGCGCAUACAGAGGGCGGCAAACUUGCGAGAGUGAGCGAAUCCCAAAAAGUGCGUCGUAGUCCGGAUUGGAGUCUGCAACUCGACUCCAUGAAGUCGGAAUCGCUAGUAAUCGUAGAUCAGAAUGCUACGGUGAAUACGUUCCCGGGCCUUGUACACACCGCCCGUCACACCAUGGGAGUGGGCUGCAAAAGAAGUGGGUAGUUUACCUUUCGGGGAGGACGCUC